UAACCUGUGGAACCACACUGUCAGAUUACUGCUUUCUAUAAAACAUAAAAUGCUUCCACUCGCUCUUACCCUUCCCAAACAAUCCCACAUAUUCACACACAAGCUCAUUUACACAAGACGGUUAUUUAAACUGGCUGUAAUGUGAAUGCAAAGUCAAUUGUUUGAAACUUAAUUGUUCUCACAUGAUGUAAUGGUGCCAUGUGGGUGUGUUUUGAAAACUCAUGUCAUAGUUGUGGUUAUAGUUGAUAUCAGUUAUAAUUAAUACUGUACUUAUUUAAGUAACUUUUGGUAGAUGGAAACAGAAAUAUCACUGGAGUCCAGUGGGCUUUAGUAUCUUUAGAGUUGGGGAAUAGAUUGCAACUGAUUGGAUUUACUUGAUGUCCAAGGCUGGGUGUAAGUUGCACAAAGUCAAUUUUGAGAGUUUUUUGGGUCACCUUUUACGCGCUUCUAAAUAAGUCCACGUGACACAAACUCGAAACUUGCGUACAAAACCUCAGACAUUUGAAGGGUUUUAUGAACUUCCCCGGACAAAGCCGUACAAACCCAGACAGACCCCCAAAAAGAGGACGUGUCUGAGUAAAAGAGGACAUGUCUGAGUAAAAGAGGACGUAUGGUCACCCUACACAAUAUCAUCAUUUUUAGUUCUCUGCUCUUUAAAACAACACUUUUUGAGGGUCUUUUGACAACAAAUGUAGAAAAUUUGACAUCUAUAAUACACUGUCAUUCCAAUUCAAGUACUCUACACCAUCCUUGCAUAAGUAGAUAACAGCAAUUACAGUGAGAGACAAAUAAUCCUGGAUAAUUUUGUCUUUUAAAACAAGAGAAAAUGUUAAUUAGCAUAAAGGAUCAAAUGCAAACUUUGAUAUAAAAAAAAUAGAAAGAAAUGUUAAAUAGAUGAAACUAUCCUCUGUUUCCCCCUUUCAAUAUCCAAACACUUUAUUUCAAUCAGAACUGCCUGCAGUCAAAAAAAGACUACUGUGGUUAACUUGAGGCUCUUACAGGAUUUGUUUCAAGCAAGGUAAAACUUCUAGUCUACUGCAUGCAACAUAAAUUUGCUCUACAUGAAUAAAAAUAUGUGACUUGAAGCAUUUAGGUCAGAUUAAAUUACAUCCAUAAUCUAUCCCGACCUAAAUAAAGUAAUUUUGUUUUGCCCGCUACACCUCCAUCCCCUCCCUUUGUGGUUUUCUCUAUAAAACAAAAACAAAAAAUGCUUACAUGCAAAAGUAACAGGCAGCAAAUUUGAUUUCCAUCAAAACUUUAAUGAGGAAAGAGUUUGGCAAAAUAUAAAUGCAGUUCCUGGGAGAGACAAUAUGGUUCAAAGAUCUGGGCAAUUAACAUUGUUAUUAUUCCCGUUAGGAAUGGUUGCUAAAGCUAUAGGAAUAAGACUCAAGUUGUCAUAAUUCAACCAUUCUUUGAAUUUACGAGCCAAUCAGCACACCUAUAAGCAGAUUUCUGUAUGGUCUGCACUCCUCAGAUAUACUCUCUGUCCACGGAAAUUCUUCUGACUCUGUUACUUUCAUCUUAAUCACCUCUCUCUGGUUUCUCCCUGUUCUGCCCCUUCAACGUCACAGGGGUCAGCGGCACUGUGCAUACUCUGUGUGUGACUGCUGCUGAAGGUGUGUGUUCCUUUGUGAGUGUCUGUGUGUGUGGGGAAGGAGCAAGCUAUCUAUAGCCUGUGUAUCCCUGGGGAUUUGAGUCUUAAACUCCAUAUUCAUGACACAUCACUGUGGGGAUUAGAAGGGCAUCAUCAGAUAGAGGGGCUUACGUCAGCGGGCACACAGACACACACACACACACACACACACACACACACACACACACACGCAACCUCACACUCAGACAAUAUCAUACACAGACACACUCUCAGCUGCAGUCUCACUCUGGAAAGCACAGAAUUUACACUUUCCAGGAAGAUUUUUAUUUAUUUGACGAACAGUCAUGUGCAAAGUUUUACUACUCAAGGACUCUGCUUUUUUGUGUGUAGCACUUUAUAGAUCAAUAGUUAGCAUCCAAGACAAACACGUUAUUAAAGACACCUCUUGUCUUCUCUUAUGCCAUCACUUCCAGUGGAUUUCUGUUCUUAGAUGUUAAAUGAAACGUGUAAAAUAUGAAUGGAACAAUAUUAAAGAGCCAUGAAAUACUCUACUCCCACUGUGCAUUUAAAUUGCAAACCUUUCCAUAAGCCUGAAAGAGUGCAGCUUUUACUUAUUAAAGUGCUCUACUCCUAAUUUCAGUUCUAUGCUCGGAUAAAACAGUUGAAAACAGACAGAGGGAAUAACUAUUUCAAAGUACACUGACUUCGAGAUCAGGACUGACACACACACACACACACACACACACACACACACACACACGCACCAAUGAUAAAGGCGAUGGUUGGUUUGUGGAAAGUUGGGAACAGCCCCAAAGUCAACAGUCUCAAAACACAACAUUAAGUAGGGCUGGGCGAUAAACCGAAAAUUUACCUACACUGAAAUUUACAACAAUAACCAACGUCAUUUUGCACGUGUCGGUAUAUUCAGUGUAAAGUAAAUAAAUUAAAGUUGGUUUUGGAUGUGCGUAGGUAGGCUUUGGUCUCAUGUACCUUUAAUACAGUGUCCUACGUCAGAGGCGUGACUCCACCCCAUUUAGUCCAUAACAAGAGUCCUUAAGAGUGGCAAAAUAAUUGCAAUAAAUGGGUCCAGGGAAGUCAUAAUAUCAAUUUAACGGCCACAGCCCCAUCUAUUGGCUUAACUUUUUUUGCAUAGGGGGCGCGGUGUAGUAGUUAUCGUCCAUUCAUCGUUAAGGAGGUGUAACUCUCAAUAUAUUGUGAUAUUGAUUUGAGGCCAUAUCGCCCCACCCUAACGUUAAGGUACAGCUAACUGGUCAGGUGACCAUUUUCACCUUAAAAAUCUGAUUUUAAAAAUCUAAAACAACAUCAAUGACUCAUUAUUAUCAGGAUUUGUUAAAUACUUGGCUCUGAUUGGUUAAAACCCCAUGAAAACAGUAAUUAAGUUUCAACUUUAUAACAAGGACAAGCCAGUCUAGCAUGUCAGAUCACAUCUGCUGAAAUAAUUCUGACGUGUUCUACUUCUGCCUGUUAACACUGCGGCAAAAAUAUUAGUUUCUAACACAAUGGGUAAAAGCACAGGAGAAAAACAACAUUACAGAUUGUGACAUUUGCUUCUUAUAUGUUAAAAGGUGUGACUGCUGGAUGAAGACAGGCAUGGUGGUGGUGCGGUUUACCUUGUCUGUGAUUUUAACAAAAAAGGAGGCAAAUCUUUUAACCUACAUGUAGAUUGAAAUCUCAAGUUCAAUGUUGAUUCGUCCCACAAUUAGGCUGAUAAGAAACCAUUACCACAGAAGCCCCAGACCACAUAAGAGAGAUUUUUCUUUAGAUUCGGAUGAGCAGAUAAAUCAUUUUUAAGACAAGAGAAUCAUCCUUAAAAUCAGUGUAAAGUGAGCAAGUGGUUAUGGGAUUAGAAGUCCUUCAAGGUGAGACAACACCUUCUGCUCACUUUGUCAGGAUUGUCAUUUGCUCUUUAUGAUAACAAAGAGCAGCCAGUUUGACUUAGACAUACAUUUGCAAAGCCAUUUAACAACACACUCUGUAAAGUUUUACACUUCAGUGUCUAUUUAACAGGGUUAAUAUUUCGAAUUACACUAAGUUUGAUGGUUAACGAUGCAGAAAAGGUCAGGUAUUUUAGGAGAAUUUGAGAAGAUGUUGAAAUAAUCUAAGCAGAACACACAGGGAAUCAUUGGUGUUGUUUUAAAUGCAGUGAUAUUGAGACUUCCUGACUGAUUGAAAGCUGACAAAAAGAAGAUACCUGAAGCAUUUGUUUUGGCAGAGCAGCUAGAAUCACUGCCCUGAAUCACUAAAUACAAAAGUUCAGUGUUAAUUCGACUGUAAUCUGAUUAUUUCAAACUAAUAAUUUCUGGUAUUCAGGCUAAAACUGCCAAUUUAAACACUUUGAGUUGGAUCUCAGGGUGAAAAUUGUUGAGAUGAGCACAAAAAUGUGUUAGGUGAAGGACUCGGUUGUCUAAGGCCAAACCAUGUGGAAGCUGAUCUGCAGGGGAGGUCGAGAAGGAGGGGGUGUUAGCACAGGCGGCAUGGAUCUGUGUACUGAUUGUUUGUCCAUUAUUGUGUGUUGUAGAGAGAGUGUGUGUUUGUUCUUAUCUCCUCUGGCCCACAGCAGCAGGAGCAUCAGAGGAAGUGUGGCCUUUCCUUCCUGUGCCUUUCACACUGUCACAAUGUACAGGAGCCAUGAAACACCAUCCAACCUACAGCGAAAGAGGGAAGAGAGGAGGGGGUGGUCUGCUUGUAAAUGCAGAGCAUGUGUGUAUGUUUCAUGCUGUGCAGCAUUUCCAAUCAAUAGAACUUCCCUUUUCUGUGUGGUGCAGAGUUGUUCUCUACCGGGGGUGAAAUGAGGUGAAGUUUGGGACAAGACAGAGGAACAGCUGAGGUGACGGAGGAUGAGAUUCAGCCCAUGAAGCAGUAGCAGAGGGGACUGGGACAGUAGAGGAAUGGGCUGGUGUCCUCCACGUGGGAGCUGAUGAAGGACAUACAUUCUGCACCUGGCGCUGGGCUCUGGCAGGGAGCCACUACCCCCCUCCCCUGUUUCAGCCUGUGCUAUCCAUCUUAUCUCCACAGCACCUAAGUUCUCCCUCAGUCCUCCCUCACUGACAGAAAUAUUAUCAGUUACAGGAUGGUUUUAACACUCAAGACCCACUUACGAAUGUAGUUGCAUAAAAAUAUAAGAGCAUGUGUGUAUAACCAAAAAACGAUGGUAAAAUUCGAACAAAUAUGUUUGCAUUUAUAUUUGUUGUUAUGUACUUUUCUUUAACGCAGAUUAUCAAGAUCUGAUGCGACAAGACUGGAGAUGCCUUUUAUUUACAAGGUGACAGGGCUAGCUUAAGUUUUUGAUCUGUUGCACCCCCUUAAUCCUCAAGCUCAGUUCAACUGUUAGCAUUUUUUACAGAUAUUGCUGAGAAAUAUAUGUCACUUUUUGAAAUGAAGAGCUGUAUCAACUCUUUACCUAACCUCCAAAAAGCCGCUCCAGUUUUUCUUCAAUGAUGCUUUAAAAUCUAGGAAAUGUAAGAUCUGUUUUUUUAAGGAUCACUCUAAUAAAAAAGUGAUUGUAAUUGUCUUCCCAUUUGCAGCAACCGAAGCAAAGUCACUGCACUGGUAGGGUGCCAGUGUUACCACAGAUUGCCUUUACCAUGAAUCUGCAUAGACAACCUCCAGCUGCAGAUUCUGCCUGUUUGGGUUUCAGUGGUAAAAAGUCAAAUAAACAAAAUUAAUGUUUAAAAACUUGUUAGGAGCACAUGUCAAACUCCAUUCCAAUCAUCUGGCACUUGUCUGUUCUGGAUCAGUGUAACCUCGUGUUCAAACAAGGUUUUCUCUGCGUAUAAGCUGCAAACUAUGACACUUCUGGCAGAGUUUUGUAGCAAUGUGCGGCACAGUCCUACAAAAGGAACAAAUCAACACUGAGGACAUUGUUACAUGAAUGGCCAAUGAAAUUUCUACUGAAUAUCUACAAGGAUUAUUUUUAGGCUUUUCAUAUAAAGAGGGGUCAAGCUCUCAGAUACUUGUGUGAUAAAUGUCCUAAAAUAGGGCUGGGUGAUAUGGCUUCACAUCAAUAUCACAAUAUAUUGAGUAGUUCACCUCGAUAAUGAUAAAUGGACGAUAACUACUCCACAAGCUGCUCACCCCCUCCCACAUCAACCUUGUCUACUUCAGCUGCUACAACUUUUGAACCGUCCUCCAUCUCCUC
rnacentral:lncRNA from 1 species